ACCAAUUCUAGCCCUGAUAUUAAUUCAUCAAACUACAACUUUACUGUAAAACAAAACAUUCACAUAUAAAAGUAUUGGAGAAAGAAAUUUAUACCCAGGAGCUAUAGAGCUAGUACCGUAAGGGAAAGAUGAAAGACUAAUUUAUAGUACUAAUAAGCAAAGAUUAAACCUUGUACCUUUUGCAUAAUGAGUUAACUAGAAACUCUCUGACUAAAAGAAUUUAAGCCAGAAACCCCGAAACCAAACGAGCUACCUAAAAACAAUUUUAUGAAUCAACCCGUCUAUGUAGCAAAAUAGUGGGAAGAUUUUUAGGUAGAGGUGAAAAGCCUAACGAGCUUGGUGAUAGCUGGUUACCCAAAAAAUGAAUUUUAGUUCAACUUUAAAUUUACCAAAAGAACAAAAAUAAAUCUUAACGUAAAUUUAAAAUAUAGCCAAAAGAGGGACAGCUCUUUAGGAAUGGAAAAAACCUUUAAUAGUGAAUAAACAAAAACAAUAUAACCAUUGUUGGCCUAAAAGCAGCCAUCAACAAAGAAAGCGUUCAAGCUCAACAUAAAAACUCAACUAAUCCCCAAAUCAUAAUAACUUCCUAAAAUAUAAACUGGGUUAUUCUAUAUAUCUAUAGAAGAAAUACUGUUAAUAUGAGUAACAAGAACCAAUUCUCCUUGCACAAGUGUAUAACAACUCGGAUAACCAUUGUUAGUUAUCAAAUCAUAGAUAAUAACCCUCAAAUAAAUUUAUCUAAAAUUAAUCUGUUAACCCAACACAGGAGUGCCAUAAGGAAAGAUUAAUCAAAAUAAAAGGAACUCGGCAAACCAGAACCCCGCCUGUUUACCAAAAACAUCACCUCUAGCAUAAUAAGUAUUAGAGGCAUUGCCUGCCCAGUGACUAUAGUUAAACGGCCGCGGUAUCCUGACCGUGCAAAGGUAGCAUAAUCAUUUGUUCCUUAAUUAGGGACUAGUAUGAACGGCUAGACGAGGGAUCAACUGUCUCUUAUUUUUGAUCAGUGAAAUUGACCUUCCAGUGAAGAGGCUGGAAUAUUACAAUAAGACGAGAAGACCCUAUGGAGCUUAAAUUUACAAGUCUAAAUAUUUCCAUUCAUUUUCCCAAACGGACCAAAACAAAAUAUGUAGACUUAAAAUUUUGGUUGGGGUGACCUCGGAGAACAAAAAAUCCUCCGAACGAUAAUAACAUAGACUAACAAGUCAAAGUGAUAAAUUUAUCCAAUUGACCCAAAAAUAAUUUGAUCAACGGACCAAGUUACCCUAGGGAUAACAGCGCAAUCCUAUUUAAGAGUCCAUAUCGACAAGAGGGUUUACGACCUCGAUGUUGGAUCAGGACAUCCUAAUGGUGCAGCAGCUAUUAAGGGUUCGUUUGUUCAACGAUUAAAGUCCUACGUGAUCUGAGUUCAGACCGGAGAAAUCCAGGUCGGUUUCUAUCUAUUAACAAUUUCUCCCAGUACGAAAGGAUAAGAGAAAUAGAGCCACCUUAACAAAAGUGCUCUAAACCAAAUUUAUGAAUAAAAUCUAAAUAAAAAAUGUAUGUAAACCUAUCACCUAGACAAGGUC
rnacentral:rRNA from 1 species